UGGGGAAUAUUGGACAAUGGAGGAAGCUCUGAUCCAGCAAUUCUGUGUGUGUGAAGAAGGUUUUAGGACUGUAAAACACUUUUAGUAGGGAAGAAAAAAAUGACGGUACCUACAGAAGAAGCAACGGCUAAAUACGUGCCAGCAGCCGCGGUAAUACGUAUGUUGCGAGCGUUAUCCGGAAUUAUUGGGCUUAAAGGGCAUCUAGGCGGUAAGACAAGUUGAAGGUGAAAACCUGUGGCUCAACCAUAGGCUUGCCUACAAAACUGUUGAACUAGAGUACUGGAAAGGUGGGUGGAACUACACGAGUAGAGGUGAAAUUCGUAGAUAUGUGUAGGAAUGCCGAUGAUGAAGAUAACUCACUGGACAGAAACUGACGCUGAAGUGCGAAAGCUAGGGGAGCAAACAGG
rnacentral:rRNA from 1 species